rnacentral:rRNA from 1 species
GACGAACCGUGCGAACGUUAUUCGGAAUCAUUGGGCUUAAAGCGCGCGUAGGCGGCGGCGUAAGGGGGGGGUGAAAUCCUAUCGGCUCAACCGUGGAAUCGCCUUUCAAACUGCGUCGCUUGAGGAAGACAGGGGCACGCGGAACUUCCAGUGGAGCGGUGAAAUGUGUUGAGAUUGGAAGGAACGCCAGUGGCGAAAGCGGCGUGCUGGAUCUUAUCUGACGCUGAGGCGCGAAAGCUAGGGGAGCAAACGGG